rnacentral:lncRNA from 1 species
GCGGCGGCCAACCGCGCGCCCGCGCGCGUCUGGACGAGCCGCUGCCAUUCUCUUAGCCAGUCGUGACAAUCCGGCUGCGGCUGCCGCUGUCUCUAAAGCAGGGCCUGGCCUUGGCAGGCCCCCGCACAUCUGUCUCUGGCCCCACCGCUGGAGUCUCUCAGUUCCCGGAGGAUCCGAAGUUAGUGUCUACCCAGUUUCCUUCACUGAAUGUGCAGAAGAGAAGAAAACAAUGCCUUCACCAGUCCCAGGAGUUCACACAUUUUAUUCAGCAGACAUUUCCGAGAACCUAUUUUGUGAACAUACAGUCUACCUUGGGUUAAAUGUCAUCUUUAUGACCAUAAUUACUUCAUAUGUGCUGCAUAACCAGACCAGAAUAAUACUACUGAGCUCAAAGAAAGAGCUCAAAUUAUAAGUCUUAGAUCGAAUGGACUGGAAACAGGAAGUGUUGAGAUUUAUGGAUUCCAAAGCUGGAAGAAAUUCAAGAUGUCUACCAUUCAAUGAGUUGUCUGUCAUUGAAUCCUUCUACAAUACUCUUUCCUGCUUCUGAAUAAAGCUGAACAGACAGUAAAGACCAGGAAAUCCCUGCUGUGUGCUGGAGGAGGCAUUGAGAAGUGCUAAGAUGUGAAGUCUCAACCAGUAGUACUGUGAAACCUGCUCAUCAGGAGUGUGUGUAUGUAAAUGAGAUUGAUUGGGUCACGAGAUCAGAGAAUCUGGCCUGUCUGAAAUCUUCAGUAACUUAAUGACUUGAGCAGACAAUGGUGCAGAUAAAGUCCAAAGGCGAUAUUCUGAAGAAGGUGCUGUUGCUCAUGGAGACAGACCAUUUUGUGUUAUUUAAGCCUUCAACUAACUGGAUGAUGUCUACCAAUUUUAAUGGGGGGGACUUGGAGGAAUUGAGCUGGAACCAAACUGGAAGCCUCAUCUCUGAGGGCUGUGCCAGAAGAAGCUAUGCAAGCUGCCAAAGGAGAAAGGCAAUCUGUAAUUAUCCAGCUCUGAAGCCUAUGACUAGAAUGGCAAGACAUUCAGAAAGUAUCACUAUACUUACAUCCUGAUGGCAACCAAC